ACGUCAUUGUAUUCGCAAAAAAAGCGGUAAACUUUAAAAGCCAGACAUUCAGGGCAAAGCGCGAAAGUAAUAUGUCUCGGAUAUUGGGAAAAAAAACGCGCGUGUUAGUCAGUUAAAUAGUUAGAUAGUUACUCAUUUUGUUUAAAGUUCAUAAAUUUAUAUUGAAAAGUGUAAGGCAAUAAUAACUUAAACGGACUAAUUGCAAGAUCUUCCACAAAGUGACCAACGGACUGUCAGAUACUAACGAUUCAAAACAAUUAUGAAUAACAACAGAACUGGAAAUACCCGCGGGCGUGGGAGACCAAAGAAACGACAGUUUCAACAGAAAAAGCUUCACGUGGGGUCGGCGUGUAUUCGGUUGCCUGAGAACUGAUUGGCUGAUGCGCUUACCAAGAAGACUUUGAUUGAGAGCUGGAAAAAUCAAUAUUGGCCACUCGCUGAGAAAAUCAUUGAAAACAGUAGCUCUUG